AAAAUGGCUAUUAUGGGCAAAACUGUGCACACACAUGUGGCAAGUGUAAAAUUGGAACUGUAUGUAACCGUAUCUCAGGAAUUUGUCAAGAAGGCUGUCAGAAUGGCUGGAGUGGAUCAAGUUGUCAAGUGUGUGAUGAUAUGUUUUACGGGGAGAACUGCACUAGUAAAUGCGGUCAUUGUAAACCUGGAACAUAUUGCCACAAUGUGACAGGGGUUUGUGAAGACGGUUGCAAUAUCCACUGGAACGGUUCUCAUUGUGAUGAGUGUAAAGAUGGAUUUUAUGGAUCCAGUUGUGGUGAAUCUUGUGGAUAUUGCAAUCAAAGUACAUGUAAUAAAAAAAACGGACACUGUCUCACUGGAUGUCAGGGGGAGUGGAAAGGUGUCAG